ACACUAGCAGCUUGUAGCUUGCUCUAGUCAGAUCAGUUUCUAGUAUUUGUCCGUCCUUCUUGUGUUCAAUUUUAAAUAUUCCUACAGCACCUUCUAAUAAUCUAUAAUUUAUAAAAGGAAAAGAAUGAAAAAAAAAUCAACCAGGAAAUGAUGUCAUUGCAUCGAGUGGAUCAAAAUAUAGAAUAGCAACUGGAAUAUCAGUCGAUGAUAACCAUGAUUCACUCCACGACUCUUUGCAAUCAGCUUUAUAAACAGAAGGAACCCGAAAGAACAGUUAAAAUGAAAGAAAUAAGAAUUAAAGAAAAUUAGAAAGACAUUGACGAAACGUUGUUUAAAAGAGAUAAUCGGAGAAAGGAAUUCAUGUAAAGAAACCAUCGAUUAAAUUCGAGCAAAGAUUUUGGAACGUCUCCACGAAAAAAAAAUCCAUUGAAUCAGACGUUAAUACAAUAACAGAAGAAGGGCAAGCAUAUGUAAUAUUUGGAUUCAAUAAUAAUAAAGAUUCAUAGGGAGAUUAUAAAGCAAUUAAUUAUUCAAGUAUAACACAAGCUACAAACAUAUUAUUCACCUGUUUGAUUUCAAGGGAUUUUGAGAAUUCGGGAAUUCGCGAAUUCCUGUGAAACAAGAAGCUGAGCAAUUUUUUUGUAGGUAGUGUUAUACUUGAGCAACCUAAUGCUGUAUAAUCUCGGUAUGAAACUUCAUUAUUAUUUUCUCCAAAUAUAACAUAAGUUUCUCCGCCCACUAUUGUUGUGUUAACGUCUGAUUCAUUUGAUAUCGUCAAGAGGUUCCAAAAUCUUUGCUCCAAUUGAAUCUAUUGUUUGCUUAUAUUUCUUUUUGUGGUUAUCUAAUCUAGAGAAAGUGUUGGCUCGUUAAUCUCAGCCCAUAGGUAUAAAAAGGCUUACAAUGCAAAUGCACGCUUUCUGAAACUGGAAGCAGCAUUACUUCGAAAUGUGCAGACGAAAAUCAAAUGUAUAAAAACCAAUUGUAGAAAGGAAGAGAUUCUAAAAAAAUCGUUGAGGAUAAAAACAAACAAAAACGAAAAGAACCAAAACCGAUGAUAAUGAUAUUGAGGAUUUAGUCAAACCAUCACCUUUUAAAGAAAUGUAAAGCAAAUUCAACUUAAACUGAUGAGAAUGAUAAUUAUCUUUAUAAUUAAUAAAUAGUAUGAUAAUAA